rnacentral:rRNA from 1 species
CCUACGGGAGGCAGCAGUAAGGAAUAUUGCGCAAUGGACGAAAGUCUGACGCAGCGACGCCGCGUGGGGGAUGAAGGUCUUCGGAUUGUAAACCCCUUUCGGGAGGGAAGAUGGAGUGGGUAACCACUUGGACGGUACCUCCAGAAGCAGCCACGGCUAACUUCGUGCCAGCAGCCGCGGUAAUACGAAGGUGGCAAGCGUUGUUCGGAUUCACUGGGCGUAAAGCGCACGCAGGCGGUCAUGUAAGUCGGACGUGAAAGCUCCUGGCUCAACUGGGAGAGGUCGUUCGAUACUGCAUGGCUUGAGGUUGGGAGAGGGAAGCGGAAUUCCCGGUGUAGUGGUGGAAUGCGUAGAUAUCGGGAGGAACACCAGUGGCGAAAGCGGCUUCCUGGCCCAUACCUGACGCUCAGGUGCGAAAGCGUGGGGAGCGAACGGGAUUAGAUACCCCGGUAGUCCACGCUGUAAACGAUGCGAACUAGGUGUUGGUAGUAUUAAUCCUAUCAGUGCCGUAGCUAACGCGAUAAGUUCGCCGCCUGGGGACUACGGCCGCAAGGCUAAAACUCAAAGGAAUUGACGG